rnacentral:lncRNA from 1 species
AGUCCUCUCCGUUCCCGCCUGCCGCGCCCUCUCCUCCCUCCCCGCGGCGCCCUAGGUCACCCGCCUUCCCGGCCCUUUCCGCCUCCCUCUCGGCCCGUUCGUGAACCCCACACCCGCACCCUCACCCUGGGUCACCUUGCACGCUCUCCUCGAGCUCCUCCCACUGCCCUCCCUCCCCCUCUCCUCCCCAGGCCCCUCCGCCUUGCUCGGAUCCGCACACCCCCAGGAGGUCCCCAGGCUGAGUUGAGAAGAGGGGGACCUGGGUCCCGGCCUGGCCUGCUGGGUGCCGUGUGCCCUGGGGCAAGGCCUGCCCCCCUCUGGUUUGGCCUCCAGCCAGUCGGCUCUAGGAAUGGCUUUCCUUUGGAAACUUGUCUAAUCCAAGACAUUUUGCUGAGUAGAGUUCUCGGCAGUAACCUAGCUGGGUUUUUUGUUUUCUUCUGAUAUAAAAGUAAUCACCCCAAAAAUGUUUAAAAAUACAAAGUGUACAAAGUAAAAGGCGAAAGCCUGAUCUCACUGCUCACUGAGGGGCAGACACAGGGCAAGUAAAUACACAAGAUUUCAGAUAGUGAUGAGCGCUAGAAAGGCAGGCAAAGGGCGGCGGCGUGAGCGGCGCGGGGUGGGGGUUCCGAAGGGCGGCCAGGUGAAGAUUAAGGGGCGUGUCCUGCAGAUUCCACACAGAAGACAAGCUGAGACCUGUCCUGCUAUAUGCCCAGUACCCAGCACCAUGCCUGGACACCAAGCAGAUGUUCUCAAAAAUUCUCUCUUCAACAGAAAAGCCUUUUUGGUGAUAGCACCUCCAAUCGUCAGGAACUCUCUAUUUGCUUCUGAAUUUUGAUCCUCAGGCAGUGUUUCUGCUCAUUAACCAGUAAUUCUUCUCUGGGUAUAUGGCUGACAGCAGAACAGAGGAUCUCAGGCGGCCUGGCAGCGUGGGUCUGCGCGGGCGAAUCAUCUUCCAGUGGAAUUAAAGCAAACCUUAACUCUAAACCUGAAGAUGUCACUCUAGGUCUGUGGGCCACUGCCCAGCUCCACUGCCAAAGGCCUUGGGCUUUCCAGAGCUUCUCAUGAUACAAGAUGCAACUUGCCCUCCUCUACCCUAAUGCUCCAAGCCCCUCUCCUAGGCCUCACCAAGCUUGCACCCUGACCUCCUAGUGGCUUUCAAGCUGAGGCCAUGCCAGGAGGAGGAGCUGGGGUGGCGGAGGUGAGCCUCAGUGCUGACCCAGGGGAGGAAUGGGGAAGCCUGGGAGGCUUGAGUGGUUAAAAUGUGGCAGGCUGGCAGAAAGUACCCGGGGCUGCUGGAUACCUGCCAGCGUGUGAAUAGGAAGAGGGCACGAGGGCACAGUUCUAAAGUAGUAUUUACUUUGGUUUUCACUUCUCUAAGGCCCUGGGACCUUUUAAAAGUUCUAGCUGUU